rnacentral:rRNA from 1 species
UACGGAAGGCAGCAGUGGGGAAUAUUGCACAAUGGGCGAAAGCCUGAUGCAGCUAUGCCGCGUGUAUGAAGAAGGCCUUAGGGUUGUAAAGUACUUUCAUCGGGGAGGAAAAAACAAAACUAAUAAUUUUAUUUCUUGACGUUACCCGAAAAAGAAGCACCGGCUAACUCCGUGCCAGCAGCCGCGGUAAUACGGAGGGUGCUAGCGUUAAUCAGAAUUACUGGGCGUAAAGAGCACGUAGGUGGUUUUUUUAAAGUCAGAUGUGAAAUCCCUGGGCUUAACCUGGAACUGCAUUUUGAAACUGAAAUACUAGAGUAUCGUAGAGGGAGGUAGAAUUCUAGGUGUAGCGGUGAAAUGCGUAGAUAUCUGGAGGAAUACCUGUGGCGAAAGCGGCCUCCUAAACGAAUACUGACACUGAGGGUGCGAAAGCGUGGGGAGCAAACGAGGGAUUAGAUACCCGU